AUUGAACGCUGGCGGCAGGCCUAACACAUGCAAGUCGAACGGAGUGGAGGACGGGUGAGUAAUGCAUAGGACUCUGCCUGGUAGUGGGGGAUAACGUCCGGCAACGGGCGCUAAUACCGCAUACUAUCAGAUGAGCCAAGGUCGGAUUAGCUAGUUGGUGGGGUAAAGGCCUACCAAGGCGACGAUCCGUAACUGGUCUGAUAGGAUGAGCAGUAAGACUGGAACUGUGACACGGUCAAGACUCCUACGGUAGGCAGCAGUGGGGAAUAUUGGACAAUGGGCUAAAGCCUGAUCCAGCCAUGCCGCGUGUGUGAAGAAGGUCUUCGGAUUGUAAAGCACUUGAAGUUGGGAGGCGUUACCAACAGAAUAAGCACCGGCUAACUUCGUGCCAGCAGCCGCGGUAAUAC
rnacentral:rRNA from 1 species